CCGCAGCUGCUAGAGGCAGAGCUGGGAUUCAGGAAUGGGCUUGCUGACUCCAACAGUGAAGGUCUUCCCCUCCAAGAGACCCCACCCGUGGGGAAGGGUGACCCUCAAAUCUUGGACAUCAGGUCCAACUUUCGGCCCAGUUGACUUUUCCACAAAGGAAGGAUUUCAGGGCUCUGAGAAGUCCCAGAAUAUCUGCCCACAGCAAUCUAGCAUCAUCAGAACCCACCUUCACGUGUAGCCACCGUGUCUCCAUGUUCCUGGUAAUGCACGCUCCCAGGCUCAGAGUCUGGAACUGCUGAUGGAGGGGCGGGUUCUGGGCCCUGCAAAGAACCGAGGCUCCGCAGUCACAGUCUUCGAUUAGACAGAGCCCCUCCAGUUCUCAGACGAUUUCUUAGGCUACCCCGAAAAUAGAGAGAGGAAGGGACCUGCCCUUGAUCACACUGUCAGUAACACAAUCAGAACAGAAAUCUAGGGCUCUUGGCCUUCAAGCCUCUGUUCUUCGCUUAACACACGGCUGGCAGAGAUGGGGAGACCUGAGAGGGCCCUGAGGGUGAGGGCAUUUGCACUGGGUGCAGAGCGCCUUUGGAAGGCAGGGAAGUCCAGGAAGGUAAACACACACACACGUUGUAAAUAUGGCGAAAAUCAGAGAGGAGGAAAUGUCAGGGACUCCUCCAGCACGGAAAACAUCCUGAUAGUUUGGAGCGCCGGGAAGAGUGGGCACCUUGGAAUCUGCAAGGCAUUCUUUUGCGUUUCACCUGCAGUGGGGUGGGGUCUCUGGGGUCUGCCCUCCCUCCUACUCUACAUGCAUUACCCAUCUUAUAGCCGGGCCGUCCCUGCAAAAUUCCAGCUGCAUGGGGGAACCACACUUCUGACUUCAGAAUGAAACCAGUGUUUUGCACACAUUCAUUCCUCAGUCCCCUUGCUGGGACCCUUCUCUGUUAUGAAAGCAGAGAUCCCACCCGAAUAGGGUGACUUUGGGGCGAUGGAUUACCUUUGGCAGGUCCUGUGGGUCAGGAAUUUAGGGGUGCAGCGUGGGCCCACAGCAUACCCAGUAGCCAAGGAAGACCCUCCCCUACCCGAGGCUCAAGCAGGCGCCAGGCCCCAAACCCUCACUCCUCUCUGGUCUAAAUCCCCGCCGUAGGAUUUUAUUUUUCGGUGCUGAGGUGCUUUGCUGGAGGAGCUGCCAGGGGGAGCUGCGCGGGGCAGGCCCGGGGUACCAGAGGCCCUUGCUUUAGCGGCGGCCCUGCGUGUGCCAGAGGCUUGCAGAGUGAUCUGAGCACGCCAAGAGAUUGCUGUCAAUGAAAGCACCAGAUUUCCGCGUAGGAGGGACUCGGGGGCAACGAUGCAAUUGGAAGUUCCAGGAACAAAGUCACUCACUGUCCUGUGGGUAGUCUCCGAGUCUCUGCGAGGACCCACUGCACGGCAGGAGCUAGUCUCAGACUGAGGUGAGUUCUCGGCAGCAGAAGGCACCACCGCACUCCCAAGGGCUAAAGGUUUACCCUGCACCUCUCCUACUGAAGCUUGCAGAGGGUUGGCAUGGCAGCCUUCUUCAUCAUAGGAGACUCUAAGACUGCUACUUUUGGCUCCUCUGGGUUGUGCAGCUUGAGUGGAAGAGCAGAUCCUCUCACAGCCUAGACCUCCUGGCCAGCCGUUUCUUGCCCUAGACUCCACUCCGAGUGGCAGUCUCCCAAGCUGUCUAAUAGGCGUAUGGGAGAAGUAUCAGCAAGUAUGCUACUUCUAAUGUCCCAGGUGGUGCACCCAGCACUGUGCCUCUUCCCUAGUGCAGCUGAAGGAAAGCUGCCACUGCCUGUGCCUUCCUUUACAAGGGUUGUCCUGGCAUGUGUCAGACCACUGGGUCCCCUAACAACCUUGCCAAUGUGCCAGUCCUCUGAAUGUUUCUGGGCUUUAGCCCCUGCCCUUGGCUUGCACGUGUCUUCUUCCUAGGACAUCCGGGGUGCUUGUGUCAUAUGCUGGUAGCAUAAUGUCAUCAACAGUGCACCAGUGUGCUGUGCAAACUAUCCCGAGACAGCCUGUAUGCAUGCAAAGUAUGCUCAAAAGUACCCAAGGCCGAGGCGUGGCAGCUCAUGCCUAUAAUUCCAGCACUUUGGGAGGCUGAGACUGGUGGAUCACUUAAGCCUAGGAGUUUGAGACUAGCCUGAGCAAAAUAGUGAGACCCUAUCUCAACUGAAAACAAAAAAAGAAAAAGAAAAAGAAAUUAGCUAGGUGUGGUGAUAUGCGCCUGUGGUCCCAGCUACUGGGAGGCUGAGGUGGGAGAAUUCAUUGAGCCCUGGAGGCUGAGGCUACAGUAAGCUGUGACUGCACUAUUGCACUCCAGCCUGGAUGACACAGCAAGACUCUGUCUCAAAAUAAAUAAAUUUAUUUAUUAAUACCACAUCAAUCGGUAUUUCCCGAUUUUCAUAAUUGAACUGUGGUUGUAUAAGAGAAUGCCCGUGGCCAGGCGCAGUAGUCCCUGCUACUUGGGGGUUGAGACAGGCGAAACCCCGUCUCCACUAAUAAUAUAAAAAUUAGCAGGUCAUGGUGGCACAUGCCUGUAAUUCCAGUACUCAGGAGGCUGAGGCAGGAGAAUCGCUUGAACCUGGGAGGUGGAGGUUGCAGUGAACCAAGUUUGUGCCACUGCACUCCAGCCUGGACAAUAGUGUGAGACUCCGUCUCAAAUAAAAAUAAAAAUAAAAGAAGUUGCCUGGCUUAGUUGUGCUUACUGGACUCAGAGCCCCACAUGGAGUCUGCUGACCUGUCUUGGGAUUGAAGGGUGAUAGGUGAGAAGGAUGGAGAAUUUGUAAAGGGCCGGCAGUCUCCCUGAUCUGUCUCUUCUAAUUUUGUAGUCGGACUCCUCCUAUUUGGUUCCUGGGCGACCUUCAGUUCUUGAAUUUUAGGGUUCCAAACAACAAGUGUUAAGUGAAGUUUGGGGCCUUUUAAAAGGUGUCAGUGCUUGAAAUUUGAG
rnacentral:lncRNA from 10 species